rnacentral:rRNA from 1 species
GUGGGGAAUCUUGCGCAAUGGGCGAAAGCCUGACGCAGCCAUGCCGCGUGGAUGAUGAAGGUCUUAGGAUUGUAAAAUCCUUUCACCGGUGAAGAUAAUGACUGUAGCCGGAGAAGAAGCCCCGGCUAACUUCGUGCCAGCAGCCGCGGUAAUACGAAGGGGGCUAGCGUUGCUCGGAUUUACUGGGCGUAAAGGGCGCGUAGGCGGACAUUUAAGUCAGGGGUGAAAUCCCGGGGCUCAACCUCGGAACUGCCUUUGAUACUGGGUGUCUUGAGUAUGAGAGAGGUGUGUGGAAAUCCGAGUGUAGAGGUGAAAUUCGUAGAUAUUCGGAAGAACACCAGUGGCGAAGGCGACUCACUGGCCCAAUACUGACGCUGAGGCGCGAAAGCGUGGGGAGCAAACAGGAUUAGAAACCCCUGUAGUCC